GCUCUUUUCUUCACAUGUGCCAGAGUUCUGGUAGUAGUAUUUCUGCAAUGGGUUUCUGUCUCCCUUGACCAAACUGAAACAUGUAGGUGUUCAAGAGGCUCAGAGGAAGAGGAGGAGUGAGUGGAUGAGCCUGUUAUGAGGACUAUCACCCAACAAGGGCAGAGCAACAUUUCCAUCCCUUCUGCUUUGAACAGAGCUACGACUAACUCAGGCAUAUUUUCAUUCACCACAUUGUGUCUACACAUGCUUAUUGAAUCUGGUCUUCCAGUUAAGGAAGACAGAGAAAUGUGUCAUCUGUGAAUCUUGGUAGAGGUUAGACCUAUUACUGAGCGUUUAGGUGCAUGCUUCGCAUCAGACACUCACCCAUCCCAAAGAACAGAUGACAAUAUUAGGACCUUGAUCCUCUCCUAGACCAAGAAAUCACUGCAGAGGAAUUUUAAGUAUCUGCAUUUUCAACAGGGUGGUGACUAGACCUCUUGUUUUCCCCCAGUUCCCUUUGCAGUCCUGGCCCUACACCACGUGUCUCCAAAAUCACACUAUGCAAAUACUUCUGCUGCUGUGGCACUGCUUUGUUUUUACUAAAUUAUUUUUAAAUAAUUCCAUUUGACUAUAUUGUUUGUUUUAGCUCCCGAACAAUUAAUAAUUGUUAACUUCAUUUUUUCACCAAAGGCAAAUCUUUGCUUGUAUCAAGGAGAGUUUUCCCGUUUUGUCUGCAGCCAGCUUGGUUAGUCUUGCUGUAAGUGGGGAAACAGUCCUUUUUUCGGUCUAAUGCCAGAUCAUUUUUCUUCUCCCCUUUUCUUUUACAUGAGAGUUCCUUAAUCUGGUACAAAAGGGAAGUCAGUUACAGCUGUAACCUCAUAUAUUUCCAAUCUGUCACCCAUUAUUUUAGACAUAGGCAGUAAUGAUUUGCAUGUAUUGUAUAGUUCCAUAGAUAACUUUAAAGGAAUUCUGCUUCCACUAGAGUAGGGACUCUAGUUACAUUUUUAGCAUUCUCUUCUUGUCGUUAAAGCCUUUCUUUGGCUUAGAGUUAAAAGAAACAUUCUGCAGCUAUCUUCAGGGGGAUGAAUUCAACUAUCAUAGCUGGAAAAACAGAUUUACUGCACUUCAUUUUUUUAUACCGUGAAUUUGAUAGGUCUGCUCAGUGAUCCCUUUGCCUCAUGUCAUGGUUAGGCUAACUACUAUUGUCCUCACCUUGUGCACAAUUAGAGUAGAUCCAUUAAGGAGUCAGUGGACCACCGAUGUUAGCACAGCUGAGGCCCAGGCCCAGGAAAUAUGUGAAGCAGCCUUAACUCUAACACCAUCUCUUUUAAAGAAUGCACAUAAAUAGGCAUGUGAAUCGGAUCCUUAUGCAUAUUUUUACUUUAUAUGUGUGGAUUUUGUAUGCUGUGAUUAACUCCUCCAUCUUGGAAUACAUACGUGUUAUUUCUUUUUAAAUUAAUCUGAAAAGCGAUUAAAAUUUCUGGCUUGGCAUGUAACAUAUUACCAUACAGUGGCAUAUGUAAUUCAUCACUAAAUUAAAAAAAACUAUUUCAUCAUUUUUUUCAGAGUGUUCUUGUUAGCAUUUAUGAAUUGAGAGCAUAGAACUUUCCUUUGAAGGCUUUUUCAUGAAAAAAAGUAAUGAUCAUGCUUCUAGUCUAUCAGUUAGCAUAUGGGGUCGAAGCUAUACUGAUUAAUGGUCUCAGUCAGGAGUCUGCUGUGGGAGUUUUCCUACCAUUUGCUUUACUAGUCUUUGGAAAAAAUCCGUGUGAGCACACAUACACAAGGAAUGAAUUUUGCUGAAGACACAUAAACUGUUUAAAAACAAACUGUUGCUUUAAAAAAUUUGUAUUAUUACUAGCAGUACUGCUUACAGGAUUUCUAGUUAUUUCAUAAAGCAUAGUUUACAUUUCUUGGGUUCUUGUAUGCUCAUUUAUCUUUCAUGUCUGAUCUCUCACAUUGCUUAUGUAAGACAAUAACUUUCCUGUAUACCUUUUAUUAAAAAAUAACUAAAUCCUGAAGAUAUGGAUUAGGCAGGGAGGAAGAUGAUUAAUAAUAAUUUAUUCUUCCCUGCAAAGAUACCAUUUAUGUGAAUGUAAAAAAUAAAUAAAUUGCACAUUAUGCUCUUCCUCUCUGUGCUAACCUGCCUUUCUUUCCAUUUCUUCUAAUGCAAUGCCUGAAUCAGUUUUAAUGUAGAAAAGAAACACAAGAUGACCAUGAUAUUUCUGGAAGUACUUGUGGACCAACUGGAGCAACAAAUGCCUAGACACCAUCCUCCUCAUGCCCAUGGGUUGUGAAAUUUUCAGGGAAGAUUUGCAGAUGCAAGUGCUUGGAUAAGAAUGCAAACUAUUGGAUGGAAUAUGAAAUAAUCAAUACAGCCAGAAGACUAUCUAUGAAAGAUACAUGUGAUUCCCUUCCAACCUGAAUUACCAUAGAAAUCUAGUUAUUAAGCCCUGAAAACAGAGGUGGAAAUGCAGAACAGCUGGAAACAGAGGGACCAUAGCUUUAAUAAUGGAGGAAGAUACACCAAUGGAAUGUAAUAAGUGACAACCAAGAGCAGCAGUGAGAGAUUCUGAAGAAUUAAGAGGCAGCAAAAGGAACUGGAUGUUGGUGUUGAGCACGUGUGAAAAUCUUGUGAGCGACAUUUGAAUGUUUUGCUUCAUUGA